rnacentral:rRNA from 1 species
GUGAACAAUUAAGGGCGCACGGUGGAUGCCUUGGCUCUCGGAGGCGAUGAAGGACGCGAUAAGCCGCGAUAGGCCACGGCGAGGUGCAAGUAACCCUUGACCCGUGGAUUUCCGAAUGGGGCAACCCGGCCGUCUAGAUGACGGUCAUGCAGUAAUGCAAGCGAACGCGGGGAACUGAAACAUCUCAUUACCCGCAGGAGAAGAAAACAAAAUGUGAUUCCCCCAGUAGUGGCGAGCGAACGGGGAAGAGCCCAAACCGUUGCCGUUUCGGCGACAGCGGGGUCAUGGGACCGCGACAUUCGACGGAAGACGAAGUGCAAUUACCUGGAAAGGUAAGCCGUGGAGGGUGACAGCCCCGUGCACGACACCUCUUUCGAAGAUAGCGGGAUCCCGAGUAGGGCGGGACACGAGAAAUCCUGCCUGAAUUCGCCAGGACCGCCUGGCAAGGCUAAAUACUCCCGAGAGACCGAUAGUGAACCAGUACCGUGAGGGAAAGGUGAAAAGUACCCCGAGCAGGGGGGUGAAAUAGACCCUGAACCCGCGCGCCUACAAGCGGUCGGAGCCGGGUAAUCCGGUGACGGCGUGCCUUUUGCAUAAUGAGCCUACGAGUUAGUCGUCACCAGCGAGGUUAAGGGCUUCAGGCCCGUUAGCCGAAGUGAAAGCGAGCCUUAACAGGGCGUCGAGUUGGUGGCGCUAGACGCGAAACCUUGUGAUCUACCCACGAGCAGGUUGAAGUCGCGGUAACACGUGAUGGAGGACCGAACCGGUAAACGUUGAAAAGUUUUCGGAUGACUCGCGGGUAGGGGUGAAAGGCCAAUCAAACUGGGAAAUAGCUCGUACUCUCCGAAAUGCAUUUCGGUGCAGCCUGUGAUGUUCUGUUCCAGAGGUAGAGCUACUGGUUGGACGCGAGGGCUUCACCGCCUAUCAAAUCCGGAUAAACUCCGAAUGCUGGAACACGAAAUCAUGGAGUGAGCCCGCGGGUGCUAAGGUCCGCGGACGAGAGGGAAAGAACCCGGACCACCGGCUAAGGUCCCGGAUGGACAGUUAAGUUGAUCAAACGAGGUGGGAUCGCUGAGACAGCUAGGAUGUUGGCUUGGAAGCAGCCAUUCAUUUAAAGAGUGCGUAACAGCUCACUAGUCGAGCGAUCCCGCGUGGAUAAUACACGGGCAUCAAACUGUCAACCGAAGCCGUGGGGUUAGUGAUGAGCUAACCGGUAGGAGAGCAUUCCUGCCAGCUUUGAAGGUCACCCGCGAGAGUGACUGGAGCGGCAUGAAAAGCAAAUGUAGGCAUAAGUAACGAUAAUGGGGGCGAGAACCCCCCACGCCGCAAGACCAAGGAUUCCCCGGCAAUGUCAAUCAGCCGGGGGUCAGCCGGCCUCUAAGGCUCACCCGAAAGGGGAUGCCGACGAGAAACGGGUUAACAUUCCCGUGCUUCUCGUCACCGUGACGCGGUGACGGGGUGAUGAAUGGACCGCGCGCUGACGGAAUAGCGCGUUGAAGGCCGUACCCUUUGACGGUGGUAGUCAAGCACGCCACCGGAGGCGAGAGCCGAUAGUACCACGAGACCCCGGUCGAGUGGAUAGCGUCCAGGCAAUUUACCCCCUAGAAAACCCGCUAAACUUCAAGUGACGAGGAACCGUACUGUAAACGGACACACGUGGUCGGGUAGAACAUACCAAGGCGCUCGAGUGAUUCAUGGUCAAGGAACUAGGCAAAAUAGUCCUGUAACUUAGGGAUAAAGGACGCUCUAGUGAUAGAGCCGCAGAGUAAUGGCCCAGGCGACUGUUUACCAAAAACACAUGGCUAUGCCAAAUCGAAAGAUGACGUAUAUGGCCUGACACCUGCCCGGUGCCGGAAGGUUAAGAGGAGAGCUCAUCGGAAACGAGAAGGUUUGAAUUGAAGCCCCGGUAAACGGCGGCCGUAACAAUAACGGUCCUAAGGUAGCGAAAUUCCUUGUCGGGUAAGUUCCGACCUGCACGAA